GGGGUCGUAGCUCAAUUGGCAGAGCGUCCGCCUCCAGAGCGGAAGGUUGCAAGUUCAAGUCCUGCCGGCCCCA
rnacentral:tRNA from 1 species